rnacentral:rRNA from 1 species
GAUGAACGCUGGCGGCGUGCCUAACACAUGCAAGUCGAGUGGCAGCGAGGGGUGCUUGCACCCUGUCGGCGAGCGGCGGACGGCUGAGUAACGCGUGGGAACGUGCCCCAAAGUGAGGAAUAACUGCCCGAAAGGGUAGCUAAUACCGCAUAUUAUCUUCGGAUCAAAGGAUUUAUCCGCUUUGGGAGCGGCUCGCGUCGGAUUAGGUAGUUGGUGAGGUAAUGGCUCACCAAGCCGACGAUCCGUAGCUGGUCUGAGAGGAUGACCAGCCAGACUGGAACUGAGACACGGUCCAGACUCCUACGGGAAGCAGCAGUGAGGAAUCUUCCACAAUGGGCGAAAGCCUGAUGGAGCAACGCCGCGUGCAGGACGAAGGCCUUCGGGUUGUAAACUGCUUUUAUAAGUGAGGAAUAUGACGGUAACUUAUGAAUAAGGAUCGGCUAACUACGUG